rnacentral:rRNA from 1 species
UACGUAGGGGGCGAGCGUUGUCCGGAAUCAUUGGGCGUAAAGCGCGUGUAGGCGGCCCGGUAAGUCCGCUGUGAAAGUCCAGGGCUCAACCCUGGGAUGCCGGUGGAUACUGUCGGGCUAGAGUCCGGAAGAGGCGAGUGGAAUUCCUGGUGUAGCGGUGAAAUGCGCAGAUAUCAGGAGGAACACCUAUUGCGAAGGCAGCUCGCUGGGACGUAACUGACGCUGAGACGCGAAAGCGUGGGGAGCAAACAGG